AUGGUUUUGGUGCGGCUGCUCCUGCUCGUAUUGCCGCCACGACGCCGGUCGCCGCCGAGCACUUGCCUAAGGUCAUCAGAAGCCAGGAAAGCGAUCUGCCGCCGGAUCCGGAGAUUGACUCUAGAAUCCCGCAACACUAGUUCGACUCCGAGUUUUGCGCCACCGAGAAGUACCAAAAGCUCAGUUGUGUGCACGGGCAUACUCCCGCUCAACGUGUAUGCACAGAGGGAUUCGACAUUGGUAGGCGGUUUCUCAGUUGCCCCUUAG
rnacentral:rRNA from 1 species